CUUGUCUGUGAAGAUGCGGACUACCUGCACCUGGACAGAAAGACCCUAUGAAGCUUUACUGUAACCUGAAAUUGAAAUUGGACUUUAGUCGCGCAGUAUAGGUGGGAGGCGUUGAAAGUAUUCUUGCGGGAAUACUGGAGCUAUCAGUGAGAUACCACUCUUCUAAUGUUAGAUUUCUAACUUUGAACCAUUAUCUGGUCAAAGAACAGUUUCAGGCGGGCAGUUUGACUGGGGCGGUCGCCUCCCAAAUGGUAACGGAGGCGUACAAAGGUUUCCUCUGAACGGGUAGAAAUCGUAUCUAGAGUGUAAAGGCAUAAGGAAGCUUGACUGUGAGA
rnacentral:rRNA from 13 species